rnacentral:tRNA from 1 species
GCGAUCGUAGCUCAGUUGGUAGAGCACCGGGUUGUGAUCCUGGAUGUCGCGGGUUCAAGCCCCGUCGGUCGCC